rnacentral:other from 1 species
AGUAUCAUAAGAGUUGCCCAAGGAUAUAUAAUUUUUCCUACAAGUUGAGAUAAGGGAAAACGGACGUUGAUAAGUUGUGUUGAAGACCCGCUACGUGUGGGGAUCCUAAUACUUAACACAGUUUACCCACCUGUAUAUACAGGGAAAAGUCUCUGUUCUUGGGUUUUUAUAAGAAAAAU